rnacentral:rRNA from 1 species
UGGGGAAUUUUGGACAAUGGGCGCAAGCCUGAUCCAGCAAUGCCGCGUGCAGGAUGAAGGCCUUCGGGUUGUAAACUGCUUUUGUACGGAACGAAAAGCCUCUCUCUAAUACAGGGGGGUGAUGACGGUACCGUAAGAAUAAGCACCGGCUAACUACGUGCCAGCAGCCGCGGUAAUACGUAGGGUGCAAGCGUUAAUCGGAAUUACUGGGCGUAAAGCGUGCGAGGCGGUUUUGUAAGACAGUGGUGAAAUCCCCGGGCUCAACCUGGGAACUGCCAUUGUGACUGCAAGGCUGGAGUGCGGCAGAGGGGGAUGGAAUUCCGCGUGUAGCAGUGAAAUGCGUAGAUAUGCGGAGGAACACCGAUGGCGAAGGCAAAUCCCCUGGGCCUGCACUGACGCUCAUGCACGAAAGCGUGGGGAGCAAACAGGAUUAGAUACCCUGGUAGUCCACGCCCUAAAACGAUGUCAACUGGUUGUUGGGGAUUUAUUUCCUCAGUAACGAAGCUAACGCGUGAAGUUGACCGCCUGGGGAGUACGGCCGCAAGGUUAAAAACUCAAAAUGAAUUGACGGGGUCAUA